UGUGGAAAACAAUCAAGAGUAGAGGUCAAAGAAAUUGGCACAUGCAUGUUACAUAUGCGUGGUGGUCAAGCUUUGAUCCUACAUGAUGUGUUAUAUGCUCCUAUGUUGGUUCUUUUAAGACUAGGCUAUAGUUUAAAUUUUUAUGGUAACGGUAUUAAUAUAUAUUAUAGAACAACUUAUGUAGGUUGUGGAUUUAUGUUGGAUAGUUUCAUGGUCUGAAUAUUAAUUAUAGUGCA
rnacentral:lncRNA from 1 species